GGUUGGCUGCUGGUUAUAAAAGAGACGACGAGACAAAACUCACUUCAGUGUGGUUUUACCUCACUUUUGGUAUACAGUUCCAGCUUCGUCUCUUUGAAGGUUCGUAGUGUUGCAGUUGUCAGCGCCUCGGAGGUCUACACAAGGCGGUCACAAGGCGGACAAACGCUCAAAUCCAGAAUGCUUCUGCUUAAUACUGGUGUGGGAGUGUAGUCUCAGGACUAUAAUGCCCCAGACGGCUCCCUGGUGGUGGUGGACCAGUCGUCUCUUGAGUAAAACUCCCGAGUCUGCACCAGUAUUCGUCUCGCCUCUCCCUUCCCAAAAGUCCUUCAGGGAGUCUCUACAGUUCUCACAAGAGACUAAACGGUUUCAAACUAGUUUAGUUCUAUAUUACGUCCAACAGUUCUCUUCAAGCGGCACUCUUGUCCUUCCAACACCUUCCUGCACUUGAAGUGCCCCAGCUCCCAUUCGCCCCUCACCCCCAGCUUGUCUCCCGGCCUUAAAGGCGACAGGGAACUCGACACUCCAUCCUGUGGAAUACCUGUGUGGUCCAGUUCGUGUGGAGAAGCGACUAUGAGGGCGGAGCGAGGGCCUGGAGGUGGUCACCCGGGUACACUGUCUGCACCAACUGGUCUCGCUGGAGGGCUCGGGUGACAACAGGGAAGGCCAAGAGGACCGUCUCGGGGCACUGAAGAACAUGUAUAACAAAGGCAUAAAGUGGCACGACAUUGCCAGCAUGUCGGUCUGUGGGACCAGCCUUUGAUAUUUUUUGCCAGAAAAUGGCCUAGUUUGCUGAAAGGUUAUAUUGUAAAAUAUUAAAAUUAAUUAUAGCACAAUUUUCUUGAAUACCUUACCUAGGUCUUUUGAUGCUUUGUCUAUACAACUUGCCACGAAAUACCUUAAUUAAGUUAGGGUAAUUUUGUUUAGUUUUAGGAAAAAAUUAA